rnacentral:rRNA from 1 species
UACAGAGGUCCCGAGCGUUGUUCGGAUUCAUUGGGCGUAAAGGGUGCGUAGGUGGCGCUGUAAGUGGGGUGUGAAAUCCCGGGGCUUAACUCCGGAACUGCAUUCCAUACUGCGGUGCUUGAGGACUGGAGAGGAGACUGGAAUUUACGGUGUAGCAGUGAAAUGCGUAGAGAUCCUAAGGAAGACCAGUGGCGAAGGCGGGUCUCUGGACAGUUCCUGACACUGAGGCACGAAGGCCAGGGGAGCAAACGGG